rnacentral:precursor_RNA from 1 species
GAAGACGCCACGCCUCCGCUGGCGACGGGACAUUAUUACUUUUGGUACGCGCUGUGACACUUCAAACUCGUACCGUGAGUAAUAAUGCGCCGUCCACGGCACCGCAUCGAAAACGCCGC